rnacentral:misc_RNA from 1 species
AGGUAAGUCGUACAAAAAACCAUUUGCUAAAUCUUGAUAAGAUCAAGGAUGUGAUCAAAGAGCACAUGUCUAUAUCUGGUAAAUUUGAUUUUGAUAAAGGAUAACGUGAUACAAACGAUGCUGUUCCCUGGACCUUAUUACGUGAUUAAGGGGCUAUACUUCGUGUUCUCACAGUACUGUGUUGUCUCUGUGUUCAUCACACUCCAUAUCCUCCUGCUGCCGUUAAGGUUCACUGCCCCUGCACUGUACUGGAAAAUUGACGCCCUUCUGUUCAAAGCUUCCCUGGGACUCGUGUCGUCAUGGUUUUAUACAGAGGGAGUUACUUUGAAAGAGUCUGGGGACUCUUUGAAAGACAUCUAUAAUGAUGAGGUCCUUCUUCUAUGUAAUCAUCAAUCUACCGCAGACAUUGGAGUUAUGAUGCAGUCAAUGUAUUCAAAGGGUCCCACGGCCGGUCACUUGAUCUGGAUAAUGGAUCACGUGUUCAGACUCACGCACUUUGGUUGGAUGUCAUGUUUUCAUGACUGAAGCUAAACGAAACGAACAGAUGCGGAAUAUGAAAGAGCAUAUCAGAAGCGCCUACUCAGAUGGCAUGAAGAAAUGGGUUGUGCUCUUUCCGGAGGGUGGAUUUUUGUGUAACAUGCGUCCAUCAAGCCAGAGGUACGCAAAUCAACAUGGUUUACCCAUACUUAAUAAUGUCUGCCUGCCUCGAUUGGUCGCAACACAAACAAUUAUUGACGAGUUGACCCCAAAAGAAGGUUCCUCCGACUUAAAGAAGUGUCGGAAUCUGAAGUGGAUCGUGGACACCACCAUAGCAUACCCGCGGGGUGAGGCACCCAAUGGUCUGUACCUUAUUUUCUCCAGGGGAAAAUUCCCGCCAAUUCGCGUCCAUUAUCGAGUGUUCGAUAUAAAAAGCGUGCCUCGAGACGAAGAGGGUUUCAAAAACUGGAUGUACGACAGGUAUAUAGAAAAGGAGGCCAUGUUGGAACGUUUCUAUAAAACCGGUUCCCUUGUGGACAACCUUACUGAAUCUAUUGACACAGAUGUGAAAGGAGCCUUUUUCUCUGUUUUAUUCUACGUUGUAAUGGCAGUGUGCUUUAGCGUAUUUUUAUAUUUUCCUGUUAUAUCGUUAGUGAAUUUCAAAUGGAUUUUAUUGAUUGUUUUAAUUUAUAUGAUUUAUUUUGCGUAUAGUUUUGUGAAAACCUUCUUCUGAUGAAUAAAUGCAGUUGAUAU